AUGUGCUACACCAGCAAAAAGCUAAGGUCCUAUUUCAGUGAACUAGCUACAGAAUCAGCACACAGAUUUGCUUCUCCUGAAAGAUUUUGGUGUUUGUUUUCUCAUCCUGAAAUCAUUUUUUUUAUUUGUAGGACCUUUAGUAUUUUUCUAUAUGGUGUGGUAAAUAUUGUUAGUUCUUUUGUCUUCUCUAUUUUCUGGAGAUCUGUCAAAAGCCCUUUUAGUCGUUGCAUUAUGUAUGCCACUGCCUGCCUUGGAUCUUUGGGAAACAUGUACUUGGCCAUCUCACUCAGGUUGCAGCAGCUGGAUGCUGUUUUUUAUUUCUAA
rnacentral:rRNA from 1 species